CGAACGAGAAAUUGGAGCAAUCCAUGAGUAAAGUGGCGCACGGGUGAGUAACACGUGACUAACCUACCUUUUAGUGGGGGAUAACCUAGGGAAACCUGGGCUAAUACCGCAUAACACUUACGAGUCAAAGCAGCAAUGCGCUGAAAGAGGGGGUCGCGGCCGAUUAGCUAGUUGGCGGGGUAAUGGCCCACCAAGGCAGUGAUCGGUAUCCGGCCUGAGAGGGCGCACGGACACACUGGAACUGAAACACGGUCCAGACUCCUACGGGAGGCAGCAGUGGGGAAUUUUGCGCAAUGGGGGAAACCCUGACGCAGCAACGCCGCGUGGAGGAUGAAGUCCCUUGGGACGUAAACUCCUUUCGAUCGGGACGAUAAUGACGGUACCGGAAGAAGAAGCCCCGGCUAACUUCGUGCCAGCAGCCGCGGUAAUACGAGGGGGGCAAGCGUUGUUCGGAAUUAUUGGGCGUAAAGGGUGCGUAGGUGGUUCGGCAAGUCUUGUGUGAAAUCUUCAGGCUCAACUUGAAGUCUGCACAAGAAACUGCCGGGCUUGAGUAUGGGAGAGGUGAGUGGAAUUUCCGGUGUAGCGGUGAAAUGCGUAGAUAUCGGAAGGAACACCUGUGGCGAAAGCGGCUCACUGGACCAUUACUGACACUGAGGCACGAAAGCUAGGGGAGCAAACAGGAUUAGAUACCCUGGU
rnacentral:rRNA from 1 species